GACGAACGCUGGCGGCGUGCCUAAUACAUGCAAGUCGAACGCACUCUCGUUUAGAUUGAAGGAGCUUGCUCCUGAUUGAUAAACAUUUGAGUGAGUGGCGGACGGGUGAGUAACACGUGGGUAACCUGCCCUAAAGUGGGGGAUAACAUUUGGAAACAGAUGCUAAUACCGCAUAAAACCUAACACCGCAUGGUGUAGGGUUGAAAGAUGGUUUCGGCUAUCACUUUAGGAUGGACCCGCGGUGCAUUAGUUAGUUGGUGAGGUAAAGGCUCACCAAGACCGUGAUGCAUAGCCGACCUGAGGGGGUAAUCGGCCACACUGGGACUGAGACACGGCCCAGACUCCUACGGGAGGCAGCAGUAGGGAAUCUUCCACAAUGGACGAAAGUCUGAUGGAGCAAACGCCGCGUGAGUGAAGAAGGUUUUCGGAUCGUAAGACUCUGUUGUUGGAGAAGAAUGUAUCUGAUAGUAACUGAUCAGGUAGUGACGGUAUCCAACCAGAAAGCCACGG
rnacentral:rRNA from 1 species